UUCCGGUUGAUCCUGCCGGACCUUACUGCUAUCGGGGUGGGACUAAGACAUGCGAGUCGAGCGUCUCUAGCUAUGUUGAGACGCGGCAGACGGCUCAGUAACACGUGGCUAACCUACCUUCAGGACGAGGAUAAACCCGGGAAACUGGGGCUAAUACUCGAUAGGUGAGGAUGUCUGGAAUGACUUCUCAUCCAAAGGGCAUUGGAAACAUGCUUUCAAUGUCGCCUGGGGAUGGGGCCGCGUCCGAUCAGGUUGUUGGUGAGGUAACGGCUCACCAAGCCUAUAACCGGUACGGGCCGUGAGAGCGGUAGCCCGGAGAUGGGUACUGAGACAAGGACCCAGGCCCCACGGGGCGCAGCAGUCGCGAAAACUCCGCAAUGCACGAAAGUGUGACGGGGCUACCCCGAGUGCCAUCCGCUGAGGGUGGCUUUUCUUUGGUAUAACUAGCCAUGGGAAUAAGGAGAGGGCAAGACUGGUGUCAGCCGCCGCGGUAAUACCAGCUCUCCGAGUGGUAGGGAUGAUUAUUGGGCUUAAAGCGUCCGUAGCCGGCUUAGCAAGUCUCCUGUUAAAUUCAGCGACCUAAUCGUUGACCCGCGGGAGAUACUACUAGGCUAGGAGGCGGGAGAGGUCGACGGUACUUCUGGGGUAGGGGUGAAAUCCUAUAAUCCCGGGAGGACCACCAGUGGCGAAGGCUGUCGACUAGAACGCGCUCGACGGUGAGGGACGAAAGCUGGGGGAGCGAACCGGAUUAGGUACCCGGGUAGUCCCAGCCGUAAACGAUGCGAGCUAGGUGUUGGAAUGGCUACGUGCCAUUUCAGUGCCGCAGGGAAGCCAUUAAGCUCGCCGCCUGGGGAGUACGGCCGCAAGGCUGAAACUUAAAGGAAUUGGCGGGGGAGCACCACAAGGCGUGAAGCUUGCGGUUCAAUUGGAUUCAACGCCGGA
rnacentral:rRNA from 1 species